GCAGGCUGCAACUCGCCUGCAUGAAGUUGGAAUUGCUAGUAAUCNCGAAUCAGAAUGUCGCGGUGAAUACGUUCCCGGGCCUUGUACACACCGCCCGUCACACCAUGAGAGUCGAUAACACCCGAAGCCUGUGAGCUAACCGCAAGGAGGCAGCAGUCGAAGGUGGGGUUGAUGAUUGGGGUGAAGUCGUAACAAGGUAUC
rnacentral:rRNA from 1 species